rnacentral:rRNA from 1 species
UAAGGGCGCACGGUGGAUGCCUUGGCACUAGAAGCCGAUGAAGGACGUUACUAACGACGAUAUGCUUUGGGGAGCUGUAAGUAAGCUUUGAUCCAGAGAUUUCCGAAUGGGGAAACCCAGCAUGAGUUAUGUCAUGUUAUCGAUAUGUGAAUACAUAGCAUAUCAGAAGGCACACCCGGAGAACUGAAACAUCUUAGUACCCGGAGGAAGAGAAAGAAAAUUCGAUUCCCUUAGUAGCGGCGAGCGAAACGGGAAGAGCCCAAACCAACAAGCUUGCUUGUUGGGGUUGUAGGACACUCUAUACGGAGUUACAAAGGACGACAUUAGACGAAUCAUCUGGAAAGAUGAAUCAAAGAAGGUAAUAAUCCUGUAGUCGAAAAUGUUGUCUCUCUUGAGUGGAUCCUGAGUACGACGGAGCACGUGAAAUUCCGUCGGAAUCUGGGAGGACCAUCUCCUAAGGCUAAAUACUCUCUAGUGACCGAUAGUGAACCAGUACCGUGAGGGAAAGGUGAAAAGCACCCCGGAAGGGGAGUGAAAUAGAACCUGAAACCGUGUGCUUACAAGUAGUCAGAGCCCGUUAAUGGGUGAUGGCGUGCCUUUUGUAGAAUGAACCGGCGAGUUACGAUUUGAUGCAAGGUUAAGCAGUAAAUGUGGAGCCGUAGCGAAAGCGAGUCUGAAUAGGGCGUUUAGUAUUUGGUCGUAGACCCGAAACCAGGUGAUCUACCCUUGGUCAGGUUGAAGUUCAGGUAACACUGAAUGGAGGACCGAACCGACUUACGUUGAAAAGUGAGCGGAUGAACUGAGGGUAGCGGAGAAAUUCCAAUCGAACCUGGAGAUAGCUGGUUCUCUCCGAAAUAGCUUUAGGGCUAGCCUCAAGUGAUGAUUAUUGGAGGUAGAGCACUGUUUGGACGAGGGGCCCCUCUCGGGUUACCGAAUUCAGACAAACUCCGAAUGCCAAUUAAUUUAACUUGGGAGUCAGAACAUGGGUGAUAAGGUCCGUGUUCGAAAGGGAAACAGCCCAGACCACCAGCUAAGGUCCCAAAAUAUAUGUUAAGUGGAAAAGGAUGUGGCGUUGCCCAGACAACUAGGAUGUUGGCUUAGAAGCAGCCAUCAUUUAAAGAGUGCGUAAUAGCUCACUAGUCGAGUGACACUGCGCCGAAAAUGUACCGGGGCUAAACAUAUUACCGAAGCUGUGGAUUGUCCUUUGGACAAUGGUAGGAGAGCGUUCUAAGGGCGUUGAAGCAUGAUCGUAAGGACAUGUGGAGCGCUUAGAAGUGAGAAUGCCGGUGUGAGUAGCGAAAGACGGGUGAGAAUCCCGUCCACCGAUUGACUAAGGUUUCCAGAGGAAGGCUCGUCCGCUCUGGGUUAGUCGGGUCCUAAGCUGAGGCCGACAGGCGUAGGCGAUGGAUAACAGGUUGAUAUUCCUGUACCACCUAUAAUCGUUUUAAUCGAUGGGGGGACGCAGUAGGAUAGGCGAAGCGUGCGAUUGGAUUGCACGUCUAAGCAGUAAGGCUGAGUAUUAGGCAAAUCCGGUACUCGUUAAGGCUGAGCUGUGAUGGGGAGAAGACAUUGAGUCUUCGAGUCGUUGAUUUCACACUGCCGAGAAAAGCCUCUAGAUAGAAAAUAGGUGCCCGUACCGCAAACCGACACAGGUAGUCAAGAUGAGAAUUCUAAGGUGAGCGAGCGAACUCUCGUUAAGGAACUCGGCAAAAUGACCCCGUAACUUCGGGAGAAGGGGUGCUCUUUAGGGUUAACGCCCAGAAGAGCCGCAGUGAAUAGGCCCAAGCGACUGUUUAUCAAAAACACAGGUCUCUGCUAAACCGUAAGGUGAUGUAUAGGGGCUGACGCCUGCCCGGUGCUGGAAGGUUAAGAGGAGUGGUUAGCUUCUGCGAAGCUACGAAUCGAAGCCCCAGUAAACGGCGGCCGUAACUAUAACGGUCCUAAGGUAGCGAAAUUCCUUGUCGGGUAAGUUCCGACCCGCACGAAAGGCGUAACGAUUUGGGCACUGUCUCAACGAGAGACUCGGUGAAAUCAUAGUACCUGUGAAGAUGCAGGUUACCCGCGACAGGACGGAAAGACCCCGUGGAGCUUUACUGUAGCCUGAUAUUGAAAUUCGGCACAGCUUGUACAGGAUAGGUAGGAGCCUUUGAAACGUGAGCGCUAGCUUACGUGGAGGCGCUGGUGGGAUACUACCCUAGCUGUGUUGGCUUUCUAACCCGCACCACUUAUCGUGGUGGGAGACAGUGUCAGGCGGGCAGUUUGACUGGGGCGGUCGCCUCCUAAAAGGUAACGGAGGCGCUCAAAGGUUCCCUCAGAAUGGUUGGAAAUCAUUCAUAGAGUGUAAAGGCAUAAGGGAGCUUGACUGCGAGACCUACAAGUCGAGCAGGGUCGAAAGACGGACUUAGUGAUCCGGUGGUUCCGCAUGGAAGGGCCAUCGCUCAACGGAUAAAAGCUACCCCGGGGAUAACAGGCUUAUCUCCCCCAAGAGUUCACAUCGACGGGGAGGUUUGGCACCUCGAUGUCGGCUCAUCGCAUCCUGGGGCUGUAGUCGGUCCCAAGGGUUGGGCUGUUCGCCCAUUAAAGCGGUACGCGAGCUGGGUUCAGAACGUCGUGAGACAGUUCGGUCCCUAUCCGUCGUGGGCGUAGGAAAUUUGAGAGGAGCUGUCCUUAGUACGAGAGGACCGGGAUGGACAUACCUCUGGUG